rnacentral:rRNA from 1 species
CAGUCGCCACGGUAAUACGAAGGGUGCAAGCGUUACUCGGAACUACUGGGCGUAAAGCGUGCGUAGGUGGUGGUUUAAGUCCGUUGUGAAAGCCCUGGGCUCAACCUGGGAAUUGCAGUGGAUACUGGAUCACUAGAGUGUGGUAGAGGAUAGUGGAAUUUCCGGUGUAGCAGUGAAAUGCGUAGAGAUCGGAAGGAACAUCUGUGGCGAAGGCGACUAUCUGGGCCACGCUGACACUGAGGCACGAAAGCGUGGGGAGCAAACAGGAUUAGAUACCCCAGUAGUCCCUGUCUCUUAUACA